ensembl:lncRNA TCP10L3 t-complex 10 like 3 (pseudogene)
GGCUGCUCUCUGGUCUCUGGAGAUGAGGCGGGAGGACUUGGGGACAGCUGUGGGGACACGGCCCAGAUGCUCUGGUCCCAGCAGAAGUGACUGGCGGGGACCAGGUGAGGUGAUGAGGUCUGUUAGUGGGGCUGAGGGAAGGGGUCUUCCCCAGACUGAGGGGGUCACAAGUUUGGGGCCGAGGACACUGGGGUAUCCCCUCGGAGGAGCGGGAAAGAAGAAGCUUUCUCAGGGCUGUGAGGACCGCGGACCCUUGCCCACUUCCACAGAAACUGUCCCAAUCCCCGCGGGGAAGGAACAGCCAGGGAUCCGGUUACUGGCAUUGGAACCUGCUUUUGGAAAAAUUUCACAUCUGUCAGCUGAUGAAGACACAACGCCCAAAUACGCUGGCCGCAAGAGUCAGAGUGCCACUCUCCUGGGACAAAGAUGGUCAUCUAACCACUUAGCUCCUCCAAAGCCAAUGAGUUUAAAGACAGAAAGAAUUAACUCGGGGAAAACACCACCACAGGAAGAUAGAGAGAAAAGUCCUCCCGGGAGACGUCAAGACAGAAGUCCAGCACCCACUGGAAGGCCGACUCCCGGUGCAGAAAGACGGGGGGUGUCUGAAGACGGAAAGAUUAUGCAUCCAUCUUCCCGAAGUCCGCAAAACUCCGGUGGCAGAAAAUCACCAGUGCAGGCUUCCCAGGCCACCACGCUGCAGGAGCAGACGGCAGCAGCCAGAGGAGCUGACAGAAGCUCAUCAGUCUUAGGGAGUUCUGAAGGCGGAUUUCUCAGCCGCGUUCAAGCUGACGAGUUCGCCAGUUCUGCCCCAGACAGUGCAGAGCGGCAGAAUCUUCCUGUAAACCCACCAUCUUCCCUGGAAAUAGCACAGGCCAUGGACACUAAGAUGAAAAAGGAGGAAGUACAGGAAGAAAAACGACAUCCAAAGGGCAAGGCAGAUGACUGCCGGCGGUCCGGUUUCCCGAGUGAAUUUCCAGGAGCUCUGCACGCCGCUCCCUCCAGACAGGACAUGGGGCCCUGACCUGGAGGCCAGGCGUUUCUAGCAUUGUUGACUGCCAGUUUAUUCCCAGUAAAUAAAGCAAUACGCUUUUCAGGAGGAAGAUUUGUUUUAAAUACUUAAAAAAAAACCCAAAACUAUAGCCUCAAAUAUCUUCCAGCCACCACAUUUUAGCCCUUGAGGAGAGCUCAGUUCCGGAAGGACGCGUCAAGGUGGCGGUGGUCG